UUGACGCCUGGUGGCAAACCAGAUUCCAAAGUCUGCCUGCUUCUGUCACUGCCCUUAAGGUGCUUUUUGACGGUUGGGAAAACUGGCUCAUUUUUGCGGAUGGGGACGCUAAAGCGCACAUGAUCCAGACCAUUAAAGACAUCAAUGCACAAAUCAUAGAAGAUCCUUCUCUGACAACCAACGUGGGUGGGCAGUCUGUUCAGGCUGGAAAAGUGAUUGCCUCUUCUGUUAUUGAGGCCGGGGACUUGGAGCUUCCUUCUGCUGAUGAAGAAGAUGAGGUUCAGUUGGAGCAAACCCCUGCCGAGGCUGUUCCUUCUGGCAGAAGAAAAAGAAAAG